ensembl:miRNA microRNA 204
UGUGGCCUGUGGACUUCCCUUUGUCAUCCUAUGCCUGGAGUCAUGUCAAUGGGGCUGGGAAGGCAAAGGGAUGCCCAGAUGUCAUGGAAG